AUUGAACGCUGGCGGCAGGCCUAACACAUGCAAGUCGAACGAGUGGCGGACGGGUGAGUAAUGUCUGGGAAACUGCCUGAUGGAGGGGGAUCACUACUGGAAACGGUAGCUAAUACCGCAUACCAUCAGAUGUGCCCAUAUGGGAUUAGCUAGUUGGUGGGGUAACGGCUCACCAAGGCGACGAUCCCUAGCUGGUCUGAGAGGAUGACCAGCCACACUGGAACUGAGCAACGGUCCAGAAUCCUACGGGAGGCAGCAGUGGGGAAUAUUGCACAAUGGGCGCAAGCCUGAUGCAGCCAUGCCGCUUGGAUGAAGAAGGCCUUCGGGUUGUAAAGGACUUUCAGCGGGGAGGCGUUACCCGCAGAAGAAGCACCGGCUAACUCCGUGCCAGCAGCCGCGGUAAUUC
rnacentral:rRNA from 1 species